AAAUGUUAUAAUUCUUUUUUUUUUUGUUAAGUUAAAAUACUUGGUGCAGGAGAAACAUAUGCCCCAGUAAAUUUCUGUUCUGUAAUUGUAACUAUUUUAAUGCCAGUAUUUUAACAAGUGCCUUUUUGUGAAUAUUUUUAAUGUAACAAGAAAUAUGCUUCAUUGUAUUACAUAUAGCUUUUUGUAACAAUUCUGACCAUUCUUUUUAGUAGUU